rnacentral:rRNA from 1 species
AUACGAAGGGAGCUAGCGUUGUUCGGAAUUACUGGGCGUAAAGCGCACGUAGGUGGAUUGGUCAGUUGAGGGUGAAAUCCCAGGGCUCAACCCUGGAACUGCCUUCAAUACUGCCAGUCUUGAGUCCGAGAGAGGUGGGUGGAAUUCCUAGUGUAGAGGUGAAAUUCGUAGAUAUUAGGAAGAACACCAGUGGCGAAGGCGGCUCACUGGCUCGGUACUGACGCUGAGGUGCGAAAGCGUGGGGAGCAAACAGGAUUAGAAACCCCGGUAGUCC